rnacentral:rRNA from 1 species
GGGGCAUAGCUGUUUCAUUGGYUGUCUAAAGACGGGCWGUGGAGGCSGCMUCUGGGUCGGUMUGUGCCCARUUCGYCCUUARAGUUUGAUCCUGGCUCAKAACRAAYGCUGGCGGCGUGCUUAACACAUGCAAGUCGAACGUGAUCCGGAGCUUGCUCCGGUGAAAGUGGCGCACGGGUGAGUAACGCGUGGAUAAUCUGCCCUGGUAUCUGGGAUAACAUCUCGAAAGGGGUGCUAAUACCGGAUAAGCCCACGGGAUCUUCGGAUUCUGCGGGAAAAGGUGGCCUCUAUUUAUAAGCUACCGUAUCAGGAUGAGUCCGCGUACCAUUAGCUAGUUGGUGGGGUAAUGGCCCACCAAGGCUACGAUGGUUAGCUGGUCUGAGAGGAUGAUCAGCCACACUGGAACUGARACACGGUCCAGACUCCUACGGGAGGCAGCAGUGGGGAAUUUUGCGCAAUGGGGGAAACCCUGACGCAGCAACGCCGCGUGAGUGAUGAAGGCCUUCGGGUCGUAAAGCUCUGUCAGAGGGGAAGAAAUGGAAUUGGUUAAUACCCGAUUUCCUUGACGGUACCCUCAAAGGAAGCACCGGCUAACUCCGUGCCAGCAGCCGCGGUAAUAC